AGUGAACGCUGGCGGUAGGCCUAACACAUGCAAGUCGAACGGCAGCACAGUAAGAGCUUGCUCUUACGGGUGGCGAGUGGCGGACGGGUGAGGAAUACAUCGGAAUCUACUUUUUCGUGGGGGAUAACGUAGGGAAACUUACGCUAAUACCGCAUACGACCUACGGGUGAAAGCAGGGGAUCUUCGGACCUUGCGCGAUUGAAUGAGCCGAUGUCGGAUUAGCUAGUUGGCGGGGUAAAGGCCCACCAAGGCGACGAUCCGUAGCUGGUCUGAGAGGAUGAUCAGCCACACUGGAACUGAGACACGGUCCAGACUCCUACGGGAGGCAGCAGUGGGGAAUAUUGGACAAUGGGCGCAAUCCUGAUCCAGCCAUACCGCGUGGGUGAAGAAGGCCUUCGGGUUGUAAAGCCCUUUUGUUGGGAAAGAAAAGCAGCAGGUUAAUACCCCGCUGUUCUGACGGUACCAAAAGAAUAAGCACCGGCUAACUUCGUG
rnacentral:rRNA from 1 species